AUGGGUUUCAGCUGUGUAAAGGUAUCAUUUUCAUAGAUCACGGACAUCAAAUGUACGGUCAUUAUGAUGUGAACUUAUGAUACACGUAUAAAUUAAUGUAAUGCAAUAUACAGCAAAUAAAGCUAGAGUUUCUCUGGACCAUAUAUCGAAUUUAAGAAAGCUGAUAUACCUAAACACCGAGUCCGAGACACUAUCAUUGUGUGACUACUGUAGUGUACGCAUAUAUAUCAACCAAAACCGGCAUGAUGUAUAGUGAGGAUGUCCGCAAAAUGAAGCAAAUCUGAUCCCGACACGAUAAUUCCCGCGGAUUCCAGUGGCAGUCCUUCCCUACCACCUGCAACUAACUGUCAACAAAUCUCAGAAAUGUAUACAGAUAGGAACAGAUGAAAAAUCGAAGAAAAUGUGUUGAACAGAAAAGACAACAUUGAAUAUCCCCUACAUAUAUAUAUUGAACUGACUUAAAAGUGCCAGAGGUUGGCUCUCUCCCGACACCUUUUCCUUGGAUCUUGCUAUCGUCCAUCAGUGAAGCAUAAAUCGGUGCCAAAACCUACAACGGCAUUGUAACUGUGAGGUUUAAUCCAAACAUUAUGCAUAGGCGUCGGAAGCAAAUUGAAAGUGGGGGGGCUAGACUAAUCCUCAGAUAUAUUGAGAAAAAAGUAAUUCCAAAAAUCAUGG